rnacentral:rRNA from 1 species
GAUGAACGCUGGCGGCGUGCCUAAUACAUGCAAGUCGGGCGAAUGGAUUAAGAGCUUGCUCUUAUGAAGUUAGCGGCGGACGGGUGAGUAACACGUGGGUAACCUGCCCAUAAGACUGGGAUAAAUCCGGGAAACCGGGGCUAAUACCGGAUAACAUUUUGAACCGCAUGGUUCGAAAUUGAAAGGCGGCUUCGGCUGUCACUUAUGGAUGGACCCGCGUCGCAUUAGCUAGUUGGUGAGGUAACGGCUCACCAAGGCAACGAUGCGUAGCCGACCUGAGAGGGUGAUCGGCCACACUGGGACUGAGACACGGCCCAGACUCCUACGGGAGGCAGCAGUAGGGAAUCUUCCGCAAUGGACGAAAGUCUGACGGAGCAACGCCGCGUGAGUGAUGAAGGCUUUCGGGUCGUAAAACUCUGUUGUUAGGGAAGAACAAGUGCCAGUUGAAUAAGCUGGCACCUUGACGGUACCUAACCAGAAAGCCACGGCUAACUACGUGCCAGCAGCCGCCGUAA